rnacentral:tRNA from 2 species
GGGCUCGUGGUCUAGCUGGUCAUGACGUUGCCUUCACACGGCAGAGGUCGCGAAUUCGAAUUUCGCCGGGCCCA